GAUGAACGCUGGCGGCGUGCCUAAUACAUGCAAGUCGAGCGAACGGACGAGAAGCUUGCUUUUCUGAUGUUAGCGGCGGACGGGUGAGUAACACGUGGAUAACCUACCUAUAAGACUGGGAUAACUUCGGGAAACCGGAGCUAAUACCGGAUAAUAUUUUGAACCGCAUGGUUCAAAAGUGAAAGACGGUCUUGCUGUCACUUAUAGAUGGAUCCGCGCUGCAUUAGCUAGUUGGUAAGGUAACGGCUUACCAAGGCAACGAUGCAUAGCCGACCUGAGAGAGGGAUCGGCCACACUGGAACUGAGACACGGUCCAGACUCCUACGGGAGGCAGCAGUAGGGAAUCUUCCGCAAUGGGCGAAAGCCUGACGGAGCAACGCCGCGUGAGUGAUGAAGGUCUUCGGAUCGUAAAACUCUGUUAUUAGGGAAGAACAUAUGUGUAAGUAACUGUGCACAUCUUGACGGUACCUAAUCAGAAAGCCACGGCUAACUACGUG
rnacentral:rRNA from 1 species